UGACUUGUCCCAACAAAAUCAAAACCUUCAUCUAGCUCAUGUACCACCAGAAAAUCCCUUGCUCCCACUACCUUAAUAGAAUUGGCUUGGAUAUCCACCCUGGUUGUCAAAUAUGAGGCCACCACAGUGGGGACGUACACCACAUCUUCUUCAGAUGUACCAAAGCUAUUGAAUUUUGGGAUACCAUCAUGGUGAACAAUAUACCUCAAUGCAUAAGCUUGAUAGAACCAUGCUCUCCCUGGGAAUUGGCAUAAAACCUGGAACUGUGUUUCCACCAAAGAGUACAACAACCUCAUUCUUUGGGAUGUUGUCCUCCUUCAAUUCUUCUGGGCCAUUUGGCUCCAAAGAAAUAACAACCUUUUCAAUUUAAUAAAAAAAAGACAGCAUCUCCUUCACCAACAUGAUCAACCUAGACACUGAUUUCCAAAUCAUCAUUUAGGAGAACCACAAGGCUAAUAAAGACAAGUGCUUUAUCUAGGUUAAAUGGGAACCUCCCUUAACAUGUAGGUUAGAAAUUCGAAUAACUCAACACUUAUGGAAAUGUGAAAACUAAUCCUCGACAAGGAGGCUUAUGAGGGAUUAUCAUAAACCACAUAGGCUACUGGACAAUUGAAUUCAUCAGUAAAGAGGCACAUGUCAAUCAUACACUGGCCGAG
rnacentral:lncRNA from 1 species